CCUACGGGAGGCAGCAGUGGGGAAUAUUGCACAAUGGGCGAAAGCCUGAUGCAGCAACGCCGCGUGAAGGAAGAAGGGUUUCGGCUCGUAAACUUCUAUUAACAGGGACGAAAAAGAUGACAGUACCUGAAGAAGAAGCCGCUGCCAACUACGUAGCAGCCGCCGUGGUAAUACGGAGGGGGCCAGCGUUAUCCGGAAUUACUGGGUGUAAAGGGUGAGUAGGCGGCAUGGUAAGCCAGAUGUGAAAGCCCUGGGCUUAACCCGAGGAUUGCAUUUGGAACUAGCAAGCUAGAGUGCAGGAGAGGAAGGCGGAAUGCCUAGUGUAGCGGUGAAAUGCGUAGAUAUUAGGAGGAACACCAGUGGCGAAGGCGGCCUGCUGGGCGUUUACUGACGCUGAGGCUCGAAAGUGUGGGGAGCAAACAGGAUUAGAUACCCGAGUAGUC
rnacentral:rRNA from 1 species